GGAUUGGUUAUUAAUAAAAUUACUUUGCUUCCAUGAAAUUCUUGCACUUUAAUUGCCAUACUGCUACUCUGAUUCUGCUCAAUAUUUAAUAUGUUAAGUGCUUGUGAUUAGGUAUACGCAUAGUUGCCUACUCGGUGUUUAAUCUUCGCUUAGUUGAUUAGACUGUAUGGUGCAUGACUGAUUAGAUUUGUGUAUUGCAUUCGCUUAGUCUGCAAUUUUGAAGACCGAAUUAGCCUUCGUUUAGUUAGGUGAUUCGUGUCGGAUUUGGAUUAGAGUAGUGUGUACUUGUCGUUGAUCUGGGAUUGGAAGCAUAGUAAUUGAGUUAGUGACCAACCGUUUUUAUUCGGUGUUUGAUUCCGUGUUUCCGUAUCUGUUUGCAUCUGUGAUUUUGUUUAUCCGCAUUCACAAACUUUUCAACAACCCCCCAACCUUCGUGUUUGACUUGAUUCUUGAACCGCAAAAUUGGUCCUUGAGAGACGACCUAGGAGUCAUUCCUAGCUAUCCUGCAUUUCUCAUAUGGAAUAAAAUUUGUAUGGGCCGCGACACCCAUCAAAAUUUUGGCGCCGUUGCCGGGAACCAACGGUUCGGUUUUAGGUCUUUUGUUGUGUUAGUGUGUGUAGUAUUUUGACUUGUGUUGUGAGUGUGUUGUUCUUUUUUGUGUGUUCGUUUUUUGUAUGUGUUAUGUAUGUUGCAUUUAGGUAGCUUUAGUUGCAUAUUUUCAUUGCAUUCUUCUUUUCCCCCUUCUUUCCCAUGUCUACCUAUUUUGGUUAUGUGGAUACUGUUUCUCCUCCAUGUCAUGCAAACUUUCUUAGUCUACCCUUAACUCGAUCCCUCGGCGAAAAGAGCUUAUUACUAAUUACUGGCUUGUUAUUCCUAGCCUCCCCUAGUAAUUAAUAAUGCAUGAUAAACGGAAGCAAAAACAAUUGAUCGUCCU
rnacentral:lncRNA from 1 species